rnacentral:miRNA from 1 species
AGUGCCUGAGGGAGUAAGAGUCC